GAUGAACGCUAGCGGCAGGCCUAAUACAUGCAAGUCGAGGGGCAGCACGGUAGCAAUACUGGUGGCGACCGGCGCACGGGUGCGUAACACGUAUGCAACCUGCCUUCAACUGGGAGAUAGCCCGGGGAAACUCGGAUUAAUACCCCAUAACACAGUGAAACAGCAUUGUUUAUUGUUAAAGCUCCGGCGGUUGAAGAUGGGCAUGCGUUCGAUUAGCUAGUUGGUGUAGGUAAUGGCUCACCAAGGCUACGAUCGAUAGGGGGUCUGAGAGGAUGAUCCCCCACACUGGUACUGAGAUACGGACCAGACUCCUACGGAGGCAGCAGUAGGGAAUAUUGGUCAAUGGACGCAAGUCUGAACCA
rnacentral:rRNA from 1 species